rnacentral:lncRNA from 1 species
UUUACCAAAAAAAAAAUUCUGAACAAAUUUUGAGGGUUUUUGGACUGUUUCUUCGUUUUUUGUUUUGAGGAAGCAGGAGACAACUUGGGUUUUUUAAAUGUUGGAAUAAGGGACAUCUUCAGCAAAGUCGUCAUCUACACAUACCUCUUUGUCCCUUUCUUUUGAGUUGUUUGCCGCCUGAUGUAGCACUUCCUCCAGCAUCUACAUCGUGCAUUUGCUUUGUUC